rnacentral:misc_RNA from 1 species
AACGCAACUUGCGCCACCUGUGGCAUGUCUGUUUGAGUACCAAUUCUCUCGUGUGUGCUAAUGGAAACAUUGCAUGCGACUUGGCUCGGUUCGCCGGGCUCAAAUACGGUCUAUGUACACGUGGAUAGUGUGAAGCUAGAGACGUACAGGCCUGGCCUACUGCUUCUUGUUCACACGCCCACCUCUUCACCGGUCUCAAAUCAGGCAAGAUUACCCGCUGAACUUAA